rnacentral:rRNA from 1 species
UGGGGAAUAUUGCACAAUGGGCGAAAGCCUGAUGCAGCAACGCCGCGUGCGGGAUGACGGCCUUCGGGUUGUAAACCGCUUUCAGCAGGGACGAAGGUUUUCUGACGGUACCUGCAGAAGAAGCACCGGCUAACUACGUGCCAGCAGCCGCGGUGAUACGUAGGGUGCGAGCGUUGUCCGGAAUUAUUGGGCGUAAAGAGCUUGUAGGCGGUCCGUUGCGUCGGAAGUGAAAACUCAGGGCUUAACCCUGAGCCUGCUUUCGAUACGGGCGGACUUGAGGGAUGUAGGGGAGAACGGAAUUCCUGGUGGAGCGGUGGAAUGCGCAGAUAUCAGGAGGAACACCAGUGGCGAAGGCGGUUCUCUGGACAUUUCCUGACGCUGAGAAGCGAAAGCGUGGGGAGCAAAACAGGCUUAGAUACCCUGGUAGUCCACGCCGUAAACGGUGGGCACUAGGUGUGGGACCCAUUCCACGGGUUCCGUGCCGUAGCUAACGCAUUAAGUGCCCCGCCUGGGG